GAUGAACGCUGGCGGCGUGCUUAACACAUGCAAGUCGAACGAGAAAUGGAGACGGAAACCUUCGGGCGGAAGGCUUCAUUUCGAGUGGCGGACGGGUGAGUAACGCGUGGGUAACCUGCCUCAUACAGGGGGAUAACAGUUGGAAACGACUGUUAAUACCGCAUAAGGCCACAGCACCGCAUGGUGCGGGGGUAAAAACUCCGGUGGUAUGAGAUGGACCCGCGUUCGAUUAGCCAGUUGGCGGGGUAACGGCCCACCAAAGCGACGAUCGAUAGCCGAUCUGAGAGGAUGACCGGCCACAUUGGGACUGAGACACGGCCCAAACUCCUACGGGAGGCAGCAGUGGGGAAUAUUGCACAAUGGGGGAAACCCUGAUGCAGCGACGCCGCGUGAGUGAAGAAGUACUUCGGUAUGUAAAGCUCUAUCAGCAGGGAAGAAAAUGACGGUACCUGAGUAAGAAGCCCCGGCUAACUACGUG
rnacentral:rRNA from 1 species